UGACGAUACCCAAAUUGGAACACUUUUUAUAGAAAAUCGUAUAAAAAAUAUUACCACGUGUUUGAAUGAAGCAUUUUUUCUAGAUAUUUCACAAAUAGGAACCUUGACCUUCCGUUUCAUGUUUUGGCCAUACGUCAGCAGCGCGUGUAUCUAUAAAUAGACCGCAGCGUGUUGAGUCAGUUUCAGCAAGGCGUUUCAACAGGUGCGAGUACCCAAAAUGGAACACUCCGACAUUUCGGUGUAUAUUUGCCGAAAAAACGAUGCGAGUUCAACAGAAGCAUGUUCCACAGUACCAUUUGACUCCUGUAGUGGCAUUGGAUUGCAUGCAUCUGUGGACCCGUGGUGGAAGGCAUGCCUGGUGAAAAGAUUUGCAACAAUCAAGAUUUUCACAUGUUGCCCAAUAUAGCAGUUGAUCUUGAUCACUGACAUCCAUAACAUGUUCCAUGCAAACUUGACAUAUCAUGCUCAUCACAGAGUCACUGGAAUGGUUCAGCAAUUGGGACCAAGAUGCUGGCAAGGUCAGAGGGAAUUAGACCUCCAGUGACGAGAGGAUGACCAUGCACAAAUUGACCACAGGCCUCGCAUAAUGGGUCGACCGGAUCUGCAUUUCCACAGUUGUCUCCUCCUGGACCGGGUACCUAUUUAUAGGGAUGAGUUUGCAUAUCCUAGACUGACUGAAAAUUCACAGACAGCCUUCUUGAUGGGACGAAAGAGGCCAACAUCAAGAGGUUGCAAAAUAUGCGUGGUGUGAGGGGGCAAACACAAUAGCUCUAUGUGGUUUUCCCUUGCCAGUUUUAUCGUCUCAAUUGACAGAUGGGACUCAUGGUUGUCCAUGGUGAGAAUUAGAGGACGAGCUUUAGGGGCAUACACAAGGAAGACAUUCUCAAACCAUCUUUGAAAUAGAUCUGUAUCUAUGUAUCCAUUUGGAGAAGUGGCAAAGAGCCAGUUUCCAGUACAUACCAUCCCUAUAUGCGCCACUCGGAAAACUCUUUUCAUAAAUCAAGAAAGUGGGCAACACCUGUCCACUGGCGGAUACACACACUGCAGCUGUUGAAUGUGUUGUCAAUGAUGUUUGUCUAGUAAAUGUGUUACCAUUUCCAGUACAAACUUUGUCCUGGGCAAUUAUCCCUUUACCAAAGCCAGUUUCGUCAAAGUUGAAAAUCUGCUCUGGUUUAUUCAGGAGUCCUGAAUGGAAAGAUUACACACCGUAUUUGAAAUAGAAAUGGUGACUGAUGGACUGAUUGACUAUCACCUAUGCAGAAAUUUAAAGAUUUUUAACUUCAUGACUUAGUUCCUUUUACAAUGACUUGUAUUAAUUUACUUUAAAAACAUUUGACUCACAACAUAAGAUAUAAACCUACAGCAUAUGAAAAUUGCCUUACAAUUUAUUAUUUACUGGACUUAAAAUUAGACCAUUCAAAUGUACAAACAUAACUAACCAUGUUUUUCCAUAGUGUUAUGGAGGAGAUCAAAAUAUUGCUUCAUGACAGUUUUAUUUGCCAUCCGAACCCUCCCACCAUCAAUUGUUUGGGGUUUCCUCAUCUUUAAAUCUGGGUGACGUUUCAGAAAGCCUCUGAACCAUUUAUUGCUUGGUCCAUUUUCCCCAAUGGUUGAUGUCCUUCCACUUUUUUUUACAAUGCCCCGUACAAAUGUCUUUAUCAUUUUGGUAGUCAACGGCAUGGAAUGUUCCUGUGAUGAUCAGUUUAUAAAUUGAUAUAAUCCUCAAACAAAAUAAAAUGUGUUAAUUGAU